rnacentral:rRNA from 1 species
GAUGAACGCUGGCGGCGUGCUUAACACAUGCAAGUCGAACGGUGAACACGGAGCUUGCUCUGUGGGAUCAGUGGCGAACGGGUGAGUAACACGUGAGCAACCUGCCCCUGACUCUGGGAUAAGCGCUGGAAACGGCGUCUAAUACUGGAUAUGUGACGUGACCGCAUGGUCUGCGUUUGGAAAGAUUUUUCGGUUGGGGAUGGGCUCGCGGCCUAUCAGCUUGUUGGUGAGGUAAUGGCUCACCAAGGCGUCGACGGGUAGCCGGCCUGAGAGGGUGACCGGCCACACUGGGAUUGAGACACGGCCCAGACUCCUACGGGAGGCAGCAGUGGGGAAUAUUGCACAAUGGGCGAAAGCCUGAUGCAGCAACGCCGCGUGAGGGAUGACGGCCUUCGGGUUGUAAACCUUUUUUAGCAGUGAAGAAGCGAAAGUGACGGUACCUGCAGAAAAAGCGCCGGCUAACUACGUG